UCCAAAAGUCUAGUGAAGAUACAAGAUUUCGUUUCUUCUCUCUCUCUCUCUCUCUCUCUAUCUAGCAUUCUCCCCUCACUUUCCACCUGUAAUGGUCUAUUUAUAGGCCAUCAUCCUUAUUGCUGUUAACCAAUUACAUUGGGCCUAUAUUCGAAAGCUCUUUUCCUUCUGGGCUCGAUCUUCCAAUGGGAUUGACCUUCCUCGGUGGAUCCCCCAGGUUCGGCCCAUUCUAGGGCGCUUUGGCAUGGAUCCUACUUCAAUCAUUCGACCCGAUCUCGUUCCCACGAACCAUAUCCGGCCCAUGCCACUUGCCGCAUCCUCAACUGCCCCUAUAAUUACCCCUUAUUGAUUAGGGGGUAAUUAUUAGAGGCUGCUAAUGAUGACCUGACGGCUCGAGGAGAUCGUGUGGGAGAAUGGACGGUUAGAUCUAGGGGUCGGCGUUUCGAGAUUCAAAAAGACAACCCAUCGCUUUCCUGACUCCUCGGCCCUUGGGCUCACCUCGUCUUUAUAAGCUCCAUUGAUUCUCCAUCGAUCCUCUUUACCGUCUCCAUCUCACCUUUUGCUGUUUGAAUCCUCUCCGGCGAUCUCUUGCGAAAGAUCUUCCUUCCAGUGGCUUUGCAAUACUUUCUGCCGUUUUCACUCUCUAAGGUUAGUUUCAUUUGCAUUUUUCUUUUGGAAGACUUCUUUCUUCUCCCCGGAAUCCUCAUUCACUCUCACCAUGACAGUAGAUCUAGACGUUCUUCGCAUGAAACUUCACCUUCCUGACGAUGUAGAAAUUAGAAACUGCCCCCGAGAAGUGAAUAUUAGAACCGGUGCUGGCCUUCUUCCCGGCGAGGUCCCGUUUUCACUCCUCCAUCUCAAUCUCCUUAGAUUUCCUUUACAUCAUUUCUUUUGCUAUGUUUUUAACAAGCUAAAUCUUUCCCUUUUACAAGUAAACCCCAAUUUCCUUAGGAUUUUAUCUGUUAUGCUACUUCUGAUUCGUGACAGAGGUCUGGAUCUGGACCUCGUAGAUUUUCUCCUCUGUUACAAGGUCAGCAAGAUCAGAACUGACGAACCGUUUUACCACUUUUUCCCCAUUGAGAAGAGGUCCUUCUGCACGGAUAAAAUCAAAUCCGAGAAGGGUUGGAGGAAAAACAUUAUUGGGGUUAGGGGAGCCUGGUUCUCUCUAGCUGCGGAGGAUUUCGCUAUCCCGAACGCUUUCGGAGAGUGCUCUGUCUCUUUUUACAAGAAAUAUAAAAACCAUAAGAGUGACUGUCCUUGCGAGAUUUGUAUUCCUCGUUUUUGUACUUUCUUGUGCCAUUCCUUAGGCAUUCCUUGUGAUGACUUGAGCUACAGUGUGUGCAGGGAUAGGGAUAACUACCUGAAGCGGUACGUUCUAACCAACGUUCCCUCUUGCUCGGACCUUCUCAACUCAGACAAUCUCCUCGAUAUCUCAGUCCUCGGCAAGACAAUGAGCCAACUCCAGAUCCCUUCCUUCGGCAGGAAGAAAACUGCCCCCAGGCCUGCUAUCACCCCUGCAUCAAAUUCCUCACCGGCUUCAGCAUCUUCCUCCGCUACCCUUUCUGAUACCACUCCUUCCACCGAUCCAUCCGUGACGGCUGCUGACCCGGUCGCUAACACGACGACUGCUAGUCCGAACGUUACCCCCUCUGUCAACAAUCCUCCUAGUUCUACUACUGUUUCUGCACGGGAAAAGGCCAGAGGAAAAAGGCAUCAACCUGACAGUGCCCUCAGCAUAGAUGACGUUCCCUUGUCUUAGAGGGUUAGGCCCUCUGGGCCGAAUGUGAUAUCCCUGACGAGACCUCCUCAAGCUAGGCCCCCCACCCCUUCUGGGCAUGCCUCCGCUUCAGGAACGGCGCCAUGGAGCCCUCGCUUCAUUUGAACAGACGGAUCGUCUGUAAAACCGACCGAGACCAUGUUCAAAGAUGGUCAGACCGCAAUGGCUUACUACAGAAGUAUGUGGACUCCCAAGGACAUCGAGGUAGCCAAAGGUCUGUCUCAGAGGGAGGUGUUCAGUCGAUUUCCCUUGUCCGCCAUGGAGACCUUGUACGGGAUGAUGGCUAUGCAGAAACAAGUUGAUCAUGUGAAUGCCAAGGUCCGCACGCUUUCUGAUAGCCUUAAUGCAGCGAACAAGGAGAACGAUGAUUUGGCUGCUCAGAAGACCGGGUUGAUGGUUCAACUUGGCAAAAUUGAAAAAAGAGAGGGAUUCGCUGAGGAAGGAGACUGACUCUCUUCAGGAUGAGAGGAAUGCUCUGCAGCUUGAAAAGAGCGUCUGGCAGACCGAGCGGGAAUCCCUUAAGGCCGAGAAGGAAGAACUGCUACGCCUUCUGAGUGAAGAGUAAUCCGCUCGGAUGGCCUUUGAGAAAAGGGCCUUGGACGAGCGCAACGCUUUACUUGAUACCAUCAGCAGGGUAAAUGGUGGUAUGCUAGCUCUGCAUGCUCGGUUCUCUAGAGUUGGAGCCCUCAGAUAUGCUCAGGGGUUCCGAGAGGGUUACGCCGAUCGCGUUCCGGAUGAGGGUCAGACUGUUUCUACCCCUGAUAAUGUUGAUAAAGAACUGGAUAUUGACCCUCCUGGUGUUUAUACAGAUCCAGACUCCACCGCUGCCGAGGGCAUAUUUGAUGAAUGUCAGGAGAUUGCGUCCUCUCGAAUCACUCCUACUCCUCCUGCUGCUCUGACUUUGGACAUUUUUCCUCUGUCCACUUUGACUCCAUCUACUGCUACUGCUGAAGAUAACCCUCAGCAGAAUGAUUCUUCCGACGCUGUUGAGGGUAGGACUCAACAGAACGAUUCUGUCAUUCACCUCGACUCUCCACCUCGUGAGGACGACGACACCACCAAUAAUGAGGAGGCAGCCCAACAUCAUCAAGAGGCCGACGAGGCAAACGCCUCUUAGUUAGAACUUUUUUUUUUUUUUUUUUUUUUUUAAAU